GACGAACGCUGGCGGCGUGCUUAACACAUGCAAGUCGAACGGAAAGGCCCCUUUGUGGGUACUCGAGUGGCGAACGGGUGCGUAACACGUGAGUAACCUGCCCUUGACUUCGGGAUAACUUUAGCAAACUGGGGCUAAUACCGGAUCGGAAUACUUGCUGCAUGGUGGGGGUUGGAAAGCUUCGGCGGGUUUGGAUUGACUCGCGGCUUAUCAGCUUGGUGGCGGGGUAGAGGCUUACCAAGGACUUGGCGGGUAGCCGGCCUGAGAGGGCGACCGGCCACAUUGAGACUGAGGGACGGCCCAGAAUGCUACGGGAGGCAGCAGGGGGGAAUAUUGCGCAAUGGGCGGAAGCCUGAUGCAGAAACGCCGCGUGCGGGAUGACGGCCUUCGGGUUGAAAACCGCUUUCAGCAGGGGCGGAGCGUGUGGUGACGGUACCUGCAGAGGAAGCACCGGCUAACUACGUG
rnacentral:rRNA from 1 species